rnacentral:rRNA from 1 species
UACGUAGGGGCCUAGCGUUGUCCGGAUUUAUUGGGCGUAAAGAGCUCGUAGGCGGUUGUUUAUGUUUGGUGUGAAAUCUCCCGGCUUAACCGGGAGGGUGCGCCGAAUACUGAGGGACUAGAGUGCGGGAGAGGAAAGUGGAAUUCCUGGUGUAGCGGUGAAAUGCGUAGAUAUCAGGAGGAACACCGGUGGUGUAGACGGCUUUCUGGACCGUAACUGACGCUGAGACACGAAAGCGUGGGUAGCAAACAGG